rnacentral:lncRNA from 1 species
GCCACCUCAGAGAAAGUGGGGCUAAAAAGAAAUGUCUGUUAAGUUUUUUUUCAUAUUUUUCCAAUGUUCACUAGAUGUAUAAUACAUAUGUAUAAACAUAAAUACAUACAUCCAUCUGCCCCCAAGUAAUCAUAUGGUUGGUUUGUAAUUUGAUGCCUUUAUGCAGAAAGGAGCUUUUAGAGUGAUGGUGUUAGCUAUUUUACAUCCUAAGGGAAGACACUAGAUGAGGGCUGAUCCCACAGUUCUUAGUAGCAAACAGCUCACCAGGGGUUUGGAGGCAGACACAGAUACAGCAGUCACAUAUCUUCAAUAAGCACUUGACUGUCAUUUGGAGUUGUUCUUUUACGGAGAUAAUGAAAUCUGGAGUUGAUGGCAAGAUUUUCAAAAUAACUAGUCCUCAAAAGCAAUAAUAGAAAUUGCCCUUAUUGACUGUUAAAUAAGCAACUUGUAACUUCUGUAUUUUAUGUUAUAUUCUUCAUUUCAGUAAACAUCUAAAAUUGCAGAUAAAAAUGGGCCUAAUAUACACAGCAGGCUUCAGGUGAUGACAGAGAGGAAGACAGCCAAACACAUCUCAUCCCUGGUUUGCACUUGGGACUGAAAUACCAGCAUCACUAAAUUCUUCAGGAUUCCAACCCCAAGGGUUGCAAUGCUUCUUCGGAGGUGAUGGAAAUCCACUGAAUCAAUAUCUAAGUGAGCUCCUUGGCACAAGACAUUCUCUAUGUUUCCAAGUAGAAUACCUGAUGUAAAGGAAUGUGGUACAUAUAACAGCUUUGAAGAGAAAAAAAACAAGGAAAGAGCAAAGUUUUUCUAUCUGAAAUUACUAGAGUGCCACAGAAGGCCUUGGACAGCUGCUUAGGUUCCUAAAAUGGGGUCAAAGGGAGUUUAUCCCGGAUUAUCCACGUGGGACCACUGUAAAUGCAAAGAAUCUUAAAAGUGGAAGAGUGAGACAGAAGAGGUCAGAAUGAUGCUAUAUGAGAAGGACCAGACUUGCUAUUGCAUGCUGUGAACAUGAAGGAAUGACAUCAAGAGCCAAAGACUGUGGGCAGCCUCUAAAAGCUGAAAAAGGCAAGGAAGCAGAUUCUCCUAUGGGGCCGCCCAGAAGGAAACAUAGUUCCGCUGACACCUUUAUUUUAGCUCAGUAAGACAAGUAUUGGACUUCUAACCUACAGAAUUGUAGGGCAAUAAAUUUGCAUUAAACUACCAAAUAAGAGAAAACUAAGAAUUAGAUUUUCCAUACAAGUCAAUGGCUUAGGUAAUUAAAGUGCAAUAUUUUGAUUGACAGUUUUAAUCUUUUAGAUGUAAACCUCUUUUAUAUUUGUGCAAUCCUCUAUCACAUUAAACAGAGUAUAUCGAUCACAAUUUGGCUUUCUUAAUA